GCCUGAGGCAGCUAUGAAACCAACACCACGCCUUGAGCCCUGACCACUUAAGGGGAAGAACAGGGUGCAGGGUUGCCUUUUGGCUGAGGCGGGGCACAGGACCACCAAACAGCCCUGGCUGACACGUGGGAGCUCUCGCUGACAGCAAACUGCCAGCACAUAAUGGCAACGGGACAAAUUAAGGAGGUCACUCUUCCCCGAGCCCUCAAAGAAUUCUUGCUCAUGGCCAGGACUGUCAACUGAGGCCAACAGCACGCGACAUGGUGGAUGAGGCACCCCCAAAGGAAGCCCACGUGGACAACUUCCUCUUCACAGGGAGGAAAAUGUGACUGAGUGACGGAGGACGGGACUGUCAUCACCCUAACCAGUGGCCAAUUUUAGCAUCACUGGCCUGGUGUGAUGGCUCGCACCUAUACUCCCAGCACUUUGGGAGGCUGAGGAGGGAGGACUGCUUGAGCCCAGGAGCUUGAGACUAGCAUGGGCAACAGAGAGAAACCCUGCCUCUAAAAAACACUUAAAAAUCAAAAAUCAAAGUUUUAGCAUCACUGACAGUGGGUUAAGAAGAUACGAAAUGUCCUUUGGUGUGAUUUAAUAGAAAGGACACAAUAUCACUUAAAUGUAUUACAACCAAAAGAUGCAGGUGAAUCUAGCAAAGCUUUAUCUGUACCUUCCAGAUUCCAGGAAAUCCUGGGGAUGGGGAGCAGGUCAGGGCAAACUCUUAGAAGUGGACACACAAAGCUGGAGGGUGCACAUCCUGCAGGACAGCCUGCCUGGCGCUGUAAGUUGGUUCCAUGGUGGAUAACAAGAUCCUUAAGGACAUGACAACCAGAAAUCGGGCACUAUGAAUGCAUGGGGUGUUGACUAGGCCCUGGAAAAAAAGGCAAGGGAUGCUCAAGGUGAGAAGCGUCUGAAGUCACACCCAGCGUGAGCCAGGUUCUGCCCUGAUGGAGGCAUUUUUGUAGUCGUCAGGCAACAGGAGAGCUGCCUGGCGUUGGUUGUAUGGUCCUUUGUGGAAUCAGAGUCACACAGCUUCAAAACACAUCACUUCUUUACUCACACCGAAACAACACAAGGCCACUGAGUGCCCUGCUCCCCUACUCACUCGGACCUAUGGACACUGGGACAAAACACCAUGUUUUCUAAGUGGCCACAGGAUAGCAAAAAUGUGGCUAUCAAGGGGGAGGUGGGCGCUCACCACCUGCCCCUCUCAAGUAAAAAUAAAAGAAUGCACUCUGAGAGCCAGGGAGGGUGCCAAACUCAUUUCUUUUUCUUGAAAUGUGACUAGUAAAUGGAGCAGAGAAUGACGCUGAAGUGCAUUCAUGCUUUCUGUGACCCAUCCGUCAAGCUCCUUCUUUGUGACCUUGCAGCUGUGUGGCGAGGCUGCAGAGCUGAACUGCCCCGCUGACGGGGGAGACAACAGCCACACGGACCUGUCCUGAUGACUGCCUGAAGGCACUGCUCUCAAGGCUGUUCAUCACCAUGCAGAGGAAGGUUCAGGAGACAGGUUCAUGCCCUUGGACCACAAAUGUCAAGCUGGGAGAGAAUGUUUGUGGCGAUGACAGAACUGGGAUUGACUCUGCAACAUCACAAAAUUCAGGAACUGAGAUGGACCUAGACCCAGAGUGUGACACGGCUCUCAAGGCUGAGGCCACCCGACAGUGUGUCAAUUAAUGCAGGCCCUUAGAGGGUGCCCUGCUCAGGCUGUAUCUCGAAUACUGUGUCCACUUCUGGGCCCAUAUUUUAGGGGUGCAGCUGACAAGUGGGUCCCCAAGGUGGUGAGGCUCUGGGAGAUUUUUAUUUUUAGAGAAGGGGUCUCACUCUGUCGCCUAGGCUACAGUGGUCUCAUCAAUGCUCACUGCAGCCUCAAACUCCUGGGCUCAAGCAAUGCUCUUGCCUCAGCCUCCUCAGUAGUGGGGGCCUUUUCAUAGGAGAGGGUUGGAUGAACUUUGAGUUUAACAUAGAGAAGGGAAGACUUGGAGCUUACCUUUCCAACUAACAUAUUACAGCCUGCUAUUCAAAGCAGGUCGGACUUGCUCUAUUUUGCCCAGAGGAAAGGUCUAGGAGCCAUGGGCAGAAGUUACAGGAGCCAGGUGUCAGUUCAGUUUAAGAAAGAACGUUCUAGCAGUUAAAACUACAAACGAUUCAGUGGGAAAGGAAUUCCCUUCAUGUGAACAGGGGCUGGGUGACCAGCUGUGAGGAACUCUUCACGCUGAUGCCUACUUGAAUGGGUGUGACCCAGAGAGUCCCUCUGUGCAUUCCACUCUGGAUGAGCAAAUGAAGUUAACUUCAAAGCAUACUUCAAAAUGUGUGAAUGAAAUUAAUUUCAAAGCAUAUUUAUAAAAGUUAUAAGAAAAUCACAGGGAGAUUGAGGGAAGAGGAGACAAUAUAUUUUUGGAGAAUGAAUGUAAAAUAUGGUUUUAAGUGAAAGAUUUUAAUUCAAAGCUCAGCCAGAACUACUCCUUUGCAAUUAGGAGAUGUGUUUAAUGAUAACUGUGUCUUUGUACAUUUCCAUUUAGUUCCUGAGUUCCAUGUGGAGGAAGUGAUGGAAAUGACCCAGUUCACUGGAACAAAGUCCUUGUCUUUUCUUUCUGCCAUCAAGUAAGAAUGCCGACCAGUGCUGGAGCUGAGUGACGAUGCCCUGUACACCCAAGAUUUGUGUACAAAUGAGUCAGGGCCAGCAAGGGUAGAAAAGGCAGCUGAACCCUCCUGAGGCUCUGCUCCCCCGAGAACAUAAAGCAUCUAGGAGCUAUGUCUAGAAAGGGGCUUUUUGGCCGGGCACAGUGGCUCAUGCCUGUAAUCCCAGCACUUUGAGAGGACGAGGCAGGUGGAUCACUGGAGCUCAGGAGUUCGAG
rnacentral:lncRNA from 1 species